GACGAACGCUGGCGGCGUGCUUAACACAUGCAAGUCGAACGGAAAGGCCCUGCUUGUGUGGGGUGCUCGAGUGGCGAACGGGUGAGUAACACGUGAGUAACCUGCCCUUGACUUUGGGAUAACUUCAGGAAACUGGGGCUAAUACCGGAUAGGAGCUCCUGCUGCAUGGUGGGGGUUGGAAAGUUUCGGCGGGUGGGGAUGGACGCGCGGCUUAUCAGCUUGUUGGUGGGGUAGUGGCUUACCAAGGCUUUGACGGGUAGCCGGCCUGAGAGGGUGACCGGCCACAUUGGGACUGAGAUACGGCCCAGACUCCUACGGGAGGCAGCAGUGGGGAAUAUUGCACAAUGGGCGGAAGCCUGAUGAGGCAACGCCGCGUGCGGGAUGACGGCCUUCGGGUUGUAAACCGCUUUCGCCUGUGACGAAGCGUGAGUGACGGUAAUGGGUAAAGAAGCACCGGCUAACUACGUG
rnacentral:rRNA from 1 species